CAGCUCAAUGCUUGCAGACAGCUGGGGCGCGACGCAACUUAAGGAGGGUCUGUCAGUGUCAUCAGUGGGGGAGGGGCCUGCCCUGCUCGCCCUAAUUGAAUAUUGUGGACCAGGAGAGAUGACCAAGAACUGCUGCAAGGAUUUUUCUUUCACAGACCCUGCAAGAGUCUCACCAAUAGUGCUGCACAAGGUACUGACACAGGCAGCCUCUGCGACGCCACUGGACGUGACGUCAUCUCCAGAGUAAACAGCCAGGAAAUGAACCCUCUCAGCAAGCAGAGCAGAGCGCGCAGGCUGUUCUGGAGAGGAAAUGUGCGCGCCCUUUUCCAGAUACCCAGAGAGCAUGUCUCACUCAAGCGAACCUGAGACUGAACCUGGAUGGAAACUGCUGUACCGCCUCACAUCGAACAAUCUCAUCACCAUUGUCGAGCUGUCAACGGACUCGUGUAAUUAUCCUCUUGAAAAGUAUCGCGCUCCAUUAUCCACCAAGUAGGCUAUGCGUUGUAGGUGCUCCGAGGCAACACAUGACGGUAAAUGUAAAAAUCCUGAUACGGUUUUUUUCUUUCUUGUCUGGAUGCCUGGAAGCUUACAGAGUGGGACAUCUCUCGAGACGUGAUUUCCCAAGCUUCAGUGUCACGAGGGAAGGAGAGUGGAAUAAAAACUGGUCCCCUUUAAAAGUUGUCAUUUGUAAAUCCCCACCAUUGUCACAGCAGAAGGGGGGGGGGGUGUGUGCGUGCGCGUCUGUGUGUGCGUGAUAAAAUAACCAAAACAAAACCAAAUAAAAAGCAGAUGUCUAGUCUACUACACGGGGUCUGAUUCAUAAAUGUUGGUGGUAGUAUGGUGGCUGGUAGUUUUGCCUGGUGGCGGGCACAGCAGAAGACUGGGGAGAUCAUUUGUGAGCGAUUAUGUCAGGGAACGCUGAUUAAAAUCAGAAGAAGACACACAUUUCACCGAGGGUAAAGCUGUCCAAACAGCCGCGAGGCGCGGAUCCAGGGUGAACCAGAGGACACCGCCUCGGGCAGCGGGCCUCGCCCGGCACUCUCUCUACCCGCUGGAGCUACUUCACUCCAGUCACCACUGGAAUACAUUAUUAUCAUCUUGAUGAAGACGGAGACAUUUUUUUUAAAGCGAAGGAGAGAGAAACGCAGUCGGACUUUCAUGUGUGUGUUACAUGAUAAUUUAAAUGUAAUCAACGAACAGCUAUUUAUUAUUAUUACUAUUAAUAAUGAUAAUAAUAAUAAUAACAAUGCUUUUCAUAUUUGCUGAAAUAGAAAAUACACCGAAAACAGGCAUUUUCAAAUAAUUCAAAACGAUAUCAUGCAUGACAAAAUUUUAAACCUCGAGUUGGGACGUGUGGCAUAUAGCCUAUAAAUAUAGGCUACAGGUAUAAGAUGACUAAUGCCACAAUAUUCUCUGAUCUUUUCAAGAACAACGCUUCUUGUUGUACUCAAUUAACUAUGUGAACCAGUUCAGAUUCUUAGAACCAAAACGAGGGCGUGAAAUUAUUCUCGGUGUGAAUGAAACUUGAAAAAUGAGGUGUAUUUCUUAGAAUGAUUCAAAUGAGAAACUUUUUGGAACAUUUUACCUCGAGUACAGAUUAUGUUUUCGGUAAUGCUUUAGCUUCAGUAACAAGAAAAAUAUAUGAAGGUACUCUGUCAAUUGAGUGAGAGAGAUGCUUAUCCGUGUGAUCGCUGUUCACCUCCUCUCUCUUAACGGCGGCAUCGCCAGGCCCACACCGCCUCCAUUUGGAUGCUACUGUUUUCGGUUACUCUGCUUUAAACAACAUCAAAUGUAGUGCUCUUAUGGCGUAUUUUACCAAAUAAAUCCAUUGACAGUUGUUGAAUUUGUUCACCCCUUUUUUACAUAACAAAGUGUCAUUGCUAAUUAGCAUACCUAUCAAACACGUCUAAAUAAAUCCGACAGGUAGCUAACAUCAUUUGAGAACUUCAUAAACACACAAACAAAGAACUUCGACAUAUCAACAUUUCAAGCCACACUCAGUGUGCUGUCCAUCUCUGUCGUGGUCUGAUUUGGAGAUUGGAGGCAGAUUGUAUCCUUAUUUAAAAGGUAACCCACCUCGUGAUUAUGUGAGUGGCCAGCCUCCCUAUCUCCAAAACACAGCUGUUGGGGAAGCAUUCAGCAUAAAUCAAUAGAACGGCGCGCGAUUUCCCAGCCCGUUCUGAGCUCUGUAUGCAAAUAACAGCUCGAGCUCUGCCCAUGAUAGCGCGACUGUGAUGCCCUUAAUUUCGUAUCCUAUUCAUUCUACGUAACAGCUCAUCUCCAAAUCAAGCCAUAUCGACCACAGACGUGAUGGAAAAGGGGGAAUGCAGCCUCAGCAAAUCCAACUCCUUUCUUUUAUGAACCAUUGGCGAGAUGGAGGGGGCUUUGGUGAACCCUGGGGAGCAGAGGUGAAGUCCUCAGAUAUUAGUCCCCAUUGUGGCCCGACUGGAAAUGCAUUCAGGAGCAGGAGCAGGAGCAGGAGCAGGAGCAGCCUAGGAGGGGAGGAGGAGACGGAUCGGAAAACUUCUAUCAGGAGAUAAAAGAAGGAGAACAACACCUUGGACAAGAUAGGCCCAUACAUUUCAGCCAGGGGACUAAUCUACAACAGUUAUCAAAGUAUCCUUCCUAAUAUCUCCCCCAGCUUCUCCAUUACCCCCUCACCACGCCCCUUCCUUACCCCCUCUCCUCCAUCCCAUUGUUAGGGCCGCCCCCCCACCCAGCAAUGUGCAGCAGUGUGAUACUGAGAGAGGGCAUUUGAGCCCCACAUAAAGACCUGCCCAUAAUCUCCUCCCAUUGACAGGUCCACAUACCCCACCCACUGUGGCAAACACACACACACACACACACACACACACACACACACACACACACACACACACACACACACACACACAUACUCCUAGUGAGAUGGAUGCUUUAAAGCAGGGGCCGCACCCGGAGUGACACGCUCUAUUAUAAAUAGCCUAAUCUAUAUGGUAAUACUGUUGUAUUCUACAAGCACAGAAUAGGGAUAAGAUAACAUUGUGACUUCAGGGUUCGGACUGCCUUCUAUGGUAAUUGUUAUCAAAGGUUAUUCUGGAUGACAUCGGGGCUGUGUUGUGAUUGGCUCUGGCCUGUUAUUUAUGAUAUGAAUUAUGAUAACCAUGGUGUCUCUUGUCCUCCGCCGCUCUGCCUCUCCGGCCGCCAGAUACAAUAAAUUGCUAUCGUUAAUCACCUGUUCUUUGUUCCUCCAUGAUUACCCCUCCGCCGCAAUAAGAGUUUUAUUUAAGGAAGAAUAUGGAUUUGUCAUCCACAAUAUUUUAUGUCCUGACAUUUCAUUUGUUAAAGGGGACGCAGCCUGUAUUUGCAUUUUAUGACUCCCUCUCUUCUCUCUCUCUCUUUACUCACUCGCUCUUCUCCACUCUCCCUCUCCCUCCUUUCAUCUCCCCCUCUCUCUUUUAUCCAUACAGUGUAGGUGACACUUGUGUAUUAUGGAAGGGAAGCAGGGACAUAUAGGAGAGGAACAGACUGAAUGGAAGAUGUCUGGGAACCUGAGUGGCGCAGUAGUCUAAGGCACUGCAUCUCAGUUCUAGUGGCGUCUCUACAGACCCUGGUUCGAUUCCAGACUGUAUCACAACCGGCCGUGAUUGGGAGUCCCAUAGGGAUGUGCACAAUUGGUCCAGUGUCGGCCGUGUUAGGGUUUGGCCGGUGUAGGCCGUCAUUGUAAAUAAGAAAUUGUUCUUAACUGACUUUUCUAGUUAAAUAAAGUUUUAAUAAAAUACUUUUUUUUUAAA